rnacentral:rRNA from 1 species
UACGGAGGGUGCAAGCGUUAUCCGGAUUCACUGGGUUUAAAGGGUGCGUAGGCGGGCAGGUAAGUCCGUGGUGAAAUCUCUGAGCUUAACUCAGAAACUGCCGUGGAUACUAUUUGCCUUGAAUAUUGUGGAGGUGAGCGGAAUAUGUCACGUAGCGGUGAAAUGCUUAGAUAUGACAUAGAACACCAAUUGCGAAGGCAGCUCACUACACAAUCAUUGACGCUGAGGCACGAAAGCGUGGGGAUCAAACAGG